rnacentral:rRNA from 1 species
UACUAGAGUAGCACUCGCAUAUCAAUAAGCGGAGGAAAAGAAACUAACAAGGAUUCCCCUAGUAACGGCGAGUGAAGCGGGAAGAGCUCAAAUUUGAAAUCUUAAAGGGUUUCCCUUUACGAAUUGUAGUUUAAAGAAGUGUUUUCUGUUGAGGUUUUGGUAAAAGUUCUUUGGAAUAGGACAUCAUAGAGGGUGAGAAUCCCGUAUUUGACCUUUACUUUCAACCUUGUGAUACACUUUCAAAGAGUCGGAUUGUUUGGGAAUGCAGUCCAAAAUGGGUGGUAAAUUUCAUCUAAAGCUAAAUAUUGGCGAGAGACCGAUAGCGAACAAGUACCGUGAGGGAAAGAUGAAAAGAACUUUGAAAAGAGAGUUAAACAGUACGUGAAAUUGUCAAAAGGGAAGCGUUUGACACCAGUGUUGUUUUUCUGAAAAUCAAUUAAAGAACUGUUUAUGCUAAGCUUGUUUAGACUUUAUCAGCUAAUCUGUUUAGUUUUGAGCUUUUCUUUAAUGCACUUUUCAGUUAACAAGUCAACAUCGAUUUCUUUUGCUGUAAAAAAGCUUGAGGAAGGUGGCUUGAGAUUCGUCUUAAGUGUUUAUAGCCUCUUGCCUAUGCAGUCGGAGAGAUUGAGGUCUGCAGCGUAGAUCCUUCGGGGCUAAAUGCAUUUGUGCUAAGUUAUAGCAUUUUAUAGACAACUUGUUGACUAUGAUUUGUCUUGUAGCUUACUCGCUUAUGUUAUUUUACCUACGCUUAGGAUGUUGAGUCAUCACACAUCUCU